GAUGAACGCUGGCUGUGUGCCUAAUACAUGCAUGUCGAGCGAAGCACUUCGGUGCUUAGCGGCGAAUGGGUGAGUAACACGUACUUAACCUACCUCAUAGUUUGGGACAACAUUUGGAAACGAAUGCUAAUACCGAAUACGCUACUAGGUGGCAUCACCUGGUAAUGAAAGACUUCCGUUUGGAUCGACUAAGAGAGUGGGAGUGCGCUACUAUUAGUUAGUUGGUAAGGGUAAAGGCCUACCAAGACGAUGAUGUAUAGCGGGGUUGAGAAGCUGAUCCGCCACACUGGGACUGAGAUACGGCCCAGACUCCGUACGGGAGGCAGCAGGUGGGGUAAUUUUCCACAAUGAGACGAAAGCUUGAUGGAGCGACACAGCGUGCAGGACGAAGCCGUUUCGGGGUAGUAAAC
rnacentral:rRNA from 1 species